rnacentral:rRNA from 1 species
GAAGUCGGAGUCGCUAGUAAUCGCAGAUCAGCAACGCUGCGGUGAAUACGUUCCCGGGCCUUGUACACACCGCCCGUCACGUCAUGAAAGUUGGUAACACCCGAAGCUGGUGGCCCAAACUCGUUAGGGAGCCGUCGAAGGUGGGAUCGGCGAUUGGGACGAAGUCGUAACAAGGUAGCCGUACCGGAAGGUGCGGCUGGAUCACCUCCUUUCUAAGGAG